GUACGCUGGCGGCACGCCUAACACAUGCAAGUCGAACGGAGUAGCAAUACUCAGUGGCAGACGGGUGAGUAACAUGUAGGUAUCUGCCCUUUGGCCUGGAAUAACACGAGGAAACUUGUGCUAAUACCGGAUAAGUCUUUACGGAGAAAGCUUUAUGCACCAUUGGAUGAGCCUGCACUUGAUAAGUUUGUUGGUGGGGUAAUGGCCUACCAAGACUUUGAUCAAUAGCUGAUUUGAGAGGAUGAUCAGCCACAUUGGGACUGAGAC
rnacentral:rRNA from 1 species